rnacentral:rRNA from 1 species
AUGCAAGUCGAGGGGUAGAAUAGCAAUAUUUGAGACCGGCGCACGGGUGCGUAACGCGUAUGCAAUCUACCUUUUACAGAGGGAUAGCCCAGAGAAAUUUGGAUUAAUACCUCAUAGUAUAGUGAGUUGGCAUCAACACACUAUUAAAGUCACAACGGUAAAAGAUGAGCAUGCGUCCCAUUAGCUAGUUGGUAAGGUAACGGCUUACCAAGGCAACGAUGGGUAGGGGUCCUGAGAGGGAGAUCCCCCACACUGGUACUGAGACACGGACCAGACUCCUACGGGAGGCAGCAGUGAGGAAUAUUGGUCAAUGGGCGCAAGCCUGAACCAGCCAUGCCGCGUGCAGGAUGACGGUCCUAUGGAUUGUAAACUGCUUUUGCACAGGAAAGAACACUCGGUCGUGACCGAGCUUGACGGUACUGUGAGAAUAAGGAUCGGCUAACUCCGUGCCAGCAGCCG